rnacentral:rRNA from 1 species
CCCACGGGUGGCAGCAGUAGGGAAUAUUGCGCAAUGGGCGAAACCCUGAAGCAGCAACGCCGCGUGAAGGAUGAAGGUUUUCGGAUUGUAAACUUCUUUUGUUAGAGAAGAUAAUGACGGUAUCUAACGAAUAAGCACCGGCUAAAUCCGUGCCAGCAGCCGCGGUAAUACGGAGGGGGCAAGCGUUACUCGGAAUCAAUGGGCGUAAAGAGCGCGGAGGCGGGAUAGCAAGUCAGAUGUGAAAUCCUAUGGCUUAACCAUAGAACUGCAUUUGAAACUGGUAAUCUAGAGUGUGGGAGAGGAUGGUGGAAUUCUUGGUGUAGGGGUAAAAUCCGUAGAGAUCAAGAGGAAUACUGAUUGCGAAGGCGACCUGCUGGAACAUAACUGACGCUGAUGCGCGAAAGCGUGGGGAGCAAACAGGAUUAGAUACCCCAGUAGUC